rnacentral:rRNA from 1 species
AGCAGUAGCCGCGGGAAAACGGAGGGUGCAAGCGUUAAUCGGAAUUACUGGGCGUAAAGCGCACGCAGGCGGUCUGACAAGUCAGAUGUGAAAUCCCCGGGCUUAACCUGGGAACUGCAUUUGAAACUGUCAGGCUGGAGUCUUGUAGAGGGGGGUAGAAUUCCAGGUGUAGCGGUGAAAUGCGUAGAGAUCUGGAGGAAUACCGGUGGCGAAGGCGGCCCCCUGGACAAAGACUGACGCUCAGGUGCGAAAGCGUGGGGAGCAAACAGGAUUAGAGACCCGUGUAGUCCCUGUCUCUUAUAC